UCUGUCUAUUUCGAUUUUGUGUUCAGAUAAAACAGUAAUAAGCAAAAAAGUUAGCACUACAGGUUUGCUUACGAAUCAAGUUUUGUGUAGUAUAUACAAAAAAAAACAUCUCUCUCUGGCUUUUCAUACAGCAGAAGCAAACGCAUCAGCACAAAAGCGACUUCUAAGCUUUACCAAAUUCAGAUGAAGUUGAGAGAGAGAAAGAGAAAGAGACAUAAACUGAAGAAUCAAAGAGGAGGAGGGAGAUGCGGAUGAGCCUUCACUUAAACAAGAAGCUUCUGUAGCAGAAUAUGUGUCACUUUCACACUUGUCUUCAAAGCAAAACCUGCACCAAUAGCACAAAGCUAAUACCUCAAUUGCUGCAGAAAAGAAAAGAAAACAUUGCAGAAUUAUCCAUCCGAAUAUGGGUUCGCUUCAGACACCGAUAGAAAUGAGAAGCUCAUCGUUGUUGGAUACGUCCUGCGGAUAUUUGCUCAGAGAGUUACAGGCAAGUUUGUUUUGAUGGUGCUUUCUGUUUUUCUUUUUAAGUAAAAUGGUUCAUAAUUUAGAGUAUUCUGAUCGAUGCCCGAUGGUCACUGUUUUAUGCACAGAUGAUAUGGGAUGAAGUUGGAGAAGAUAAGUUUGAGAGAGAAAAAGUGUUGCUUGAUAUAGAGCAGGAAUGUGUAGAGGCUUACCGGAGAAAAGUUGACCAUGCCAAUGUUUCGAGGUCUCGUCUACAUCAAGAGCUGGCAGAAUCUGAAGCCGAACUCACCCAUUUUCUUUUGUGCCUCGGUGAAAGAUCAGUACCUGGAAGAGUAAUUUUCAUUCUUUCAUAUCCAUUAUGAAGCAAAGACUAUUCAAUAAACAAAACCAAGACUAGUCCAGUGUUUCAGAUAACCUAUCAUAGAUAAUUUUGUUGUCAUUCUCUAUACAGCCGGAGAAAAAGGGAGGAACACUGAGGGAGCAGCUGGAUUCUAUUGCGCCUGCACUGCGUGAGAUGAGGCUUAGGAAAGACGAGAGAGUGAAGCAGUUCCGAUCUGUCAAAGGGGAAAUUCAGAAAAUAUCAGCAGAAAUAGCAGGUAGAUCGACAUAUGAAGACUCAACUAGAAAGAUAACCAUAGAUGACAACGAUCUUUCUAAUAAAAAACUUGAGGAAUAUCAGAAUGAACUGCAUAGACUCCAUGAUGAGAAGGUACAUUUUGUAAUACCAAAUUGGGAACAAUGUUUUUUUUUUGGUCAACAUGCAUGUGUUUUACUUAUCAGACAGUUUUGGCUUCUCCAUCAUGUUGUCUUUCAUUGUUCUGUCACACAAGAAUGAGAGACUACAGAAGGUUGAUAUAUAC
rnacentral:lncRNA from 1 species